CCCUUAGAUGUUCUGGGCCGCACGCGCGCUACAAUGAUUGUCUCAGCAUGUUUUGGGUGUGUAAAUACCCAGGAAUUCCGAGUAACAAUCGUGAUGGGGCUAGACCCUUGCAAUUUUUGGUCUCCAACGAGGAAUUCCUAGUAAAGGCAGGUCAUUAACCUGCCUUGAUUACGUCCCUGCCCUUUGUACACACCGCCCGUCGCACCUACCGAUUGAAUGGUCCGGUGAAAUCUCCAGACGUGGUUUUACCGUGAAAGCUGAUUGAAUCUUAUCAUUUAGAGGAAGGUGAAGUCGUAACA
rnacentral:rRNA from 1 species